AGCCGCGGUAAUUCCAGCUCCAAUAGCGUAUAUUAAAGUUGUUGCAGUUAAAAAGCUCGUAGUUGAAUUUCGGGACCAUCAUGUCGGUCGUGCCUCGGUACGUACUGGCAUUGUUGGUUUCUCCCUUCUGACGAACCAUGAUGUCAUUUAUUUGGUGUUGUGGGAAAUCAGGACUGUUACUUUGAAAAAAUUAGAGUGUUUAAAGCAGGCUCACGCUUGAAUACAUUAGCAUGGAAUAAUGAAAUAGGACGUUUGAUUCUAUUUUGUUGGUUUCUAGGAUCGACGUAAUGAUUAAUAGGGAUAGUUGGGGGCAUUAGUAUUCAAUUGUCAGAGGUGAAAUUCUUGGAUUUAUUGAAGACUAACUACUGCGAAAGCAUUUGCCAAGGAUGUUUUCAUUAAUCAAGAACGAAAGUUAGGGGAUCGAAGACGAUCAGAUACCGUCGUAGUCUUAACCAUAAACUAUGCCGACUAGGGAUCGGAUGAUGUUAAUUUUUUAAUGACUCAUUCGGCGCCUUACG
rnacentral:misc_RNA from 1 species